rnacentral:rRNA from 1 species
UACGAAGGCUCCAAGCGUUAUCCGGAUUUAUUGGGCGUAAAGAGCGCGUAGGGGUCCCAUCGCAUCUUCGGUUAAAUCCCAGAGCUUAACUUUGGAACUGCCGAGGAGAUGGACGGGAUAGAGGAUGUCAGAGGCUACUGGAACGCACGGUGUAGGGGUGAAAUCCGUUGAUAUCGUGCGGAACACCAAAGGCGAAGGCAGGUAGCUGGGACAUUCCUGACCCUCAGUGCGCGAAAGCGUGGGGAGCAAAAAGG